GACGGAGGGUGCAAGCGUUAUCCGGAUUCACUGGGUUUAAAGGGUGCGUAGGUGGGCUAGUAAGUCCGUGGUGAAAUCUCCAAGCUUAACUUGGAAACUGCCGUGGAUACUAUUAGUCUUGAAUAUUGUGGAGGUAAGCGGAAUAUGUCAUGUAGCGGUGAAAUGCUUAGAUAUGACAUAGAACACCGAUAGCGAAGGCAGCUUGCUACACAAUCGUUGACACUGAGGCACGAAAGCGUGGGGAUCAAACAGG
rnacentral:rRNA from 1 species